rnacentral:rRNA from 1 species
AUGGGCUGCUGCAGCAGCCGGAGCUCGGACUCGCCGGCCAGCCGCGUCACGCGCUGGCGCUCCACCGGGAUCGUCGCCCUCCGGGACGCCNNNNUGCAGGUGGUACCACAUGAAGUUCUGCAAGUGGGAAAUUCCCUUAGAACUCUGGAUUUGACAAAUAACAAAAUAGUUGAGGUUCCCCAGGAAGUUGGUACCAUUGUGAAUAUGCAAAGACUGGUUUUGGCUGGUAAUUUGAUUGAAAACAUUCCAGCUAAUAUUGGAUACCUGCGGAACCUUAAAAUCCUCACGCUUGACAGAAAUAGGAUCACUGUCUUGCCUGAAGAAUUGGGUUCUCUAUCAAAUCUUCAGCAGCUUACAGUUUCUCAGAAUUCUUUACUGUGCCUACCUAAAAGUGUUGGAGAUUUGUGCAAUAUGCUGCUACUCAAUGUAUCUGAUAACAAACUAAAUGCCCUUCCCGAAUCAAUAGGAGGCUGCAAGUCCCUGGAAGAAUUGCAGGCUAAUGGAAAUGCAAUCGAAGAUGUGCCUUCAUCAAUUUGCAACCUUGCUUGCCUCAAAUCUCUAUCAUUGAAUGGAAACAAAAUUCGUCAGCUUCCCCCAAACUUGCUGAAGGAUUGCAAGGCUCUUCAGAACUUGUCACUGCACAGCAACCCAAUCUCGAUGGACCAGUUUCAGCAAAUGGAUGGAUUCGGGGAAUUUGAAGCACGCAGAAGGAAGAAGUUUGACAAGCAGAUUGAUUCAAAUGUGAUGAUGGGCUCCACAGCCCUGGAUGAAGGCAUUGAUUUACGCUAG